rnacentral:tRNA from 1 species
GAUUGUGGCUCAGUGGCAGAGCGCUUGCCUAGCAUGUGUGAGGCCCUGGGUUCCAUCCUCAGCACAACA